GGUGAACGCUAGCGGCAGGCCUAACACAUGCAAGUCGAGGGGUAGCAGGAUUAAGCUUGCUUAAUUGCUGACGACCGGCGCACGGGUGCGUAACGCGUAUGCAACCUACCUUAUACUGGGGUAUAGCCCGGAGAAAUUCGGAUUAAUCCCCCAUAGUACUAAUGAAUCGCAUGGUUUAUUAGUUAAAGCAUUGCGGUAUAAGAUGGGCAUGCGUCCUAUUAGCUAGAUGGUGAGGUAACGGCUCACCAUGGCUACGAUAGGUAGGGGGCCUGAGAGGGUGGUCCCCCACACUGGUACUGAGACACGGACCAGACUCCUACGGGAGGCAGCAGUGAGGAAUAUUGGUCAAUGGGCGCAAGCCUGAACCAGCCAUGCCGCGUGCAGGAAGAGUGCCCUAUGGGUUGUAAACUGCUUUUAUUUGGGAAUAAACCUCUUUACGUGUAGAGAGCUGAAGGUACCAAAUGAAUAAGCACCGGCUAACUCCGUGCCAGCAGCCGCCGUAA
rnacentral:rRNA from 1 species